GAUCAACGCUGGCGGCGUGCCUAAUGCAUGCAAGUCGGGCGGGGUCCCUUUCGGGGGACUCACGCGGCGGACGGGUGCGUAACACGUGGGCAACCUACCCUAGGGCGGGGGAUAGCCACCGGAAACGGUGGGUAAUUCCGCGUACGUUUCCUGGUCGAUGGGGCGAGGAAAGAAAGGCGAAAGCCACCCUUGGGCGGGGCCUGCGGCCGAUUAGCUAGACGGUGGGGCAACGGCCUACCGUGGCGAUGAUCGGUAGCUGGCUUGAGAGGACGGCCAGCCACACGGGGACGUGAGAGACGGCCCCGACUCCGUACGGAGGCAGCAGCAAGGAAUCUUCCGCAAUGGGCGAUGAGCCUGACGGAGCAACGCCGCGUGGGGGAUGAGGCCCUUCGGGUGU
rnacentral:rRNA from 1 species